rnacentral:lncRNA from 1 species
GCACGGAUUCCCUUGGCAUAACCUAGGAGCUUUUCUUUCAAUCCCAACAAAACCCGCGGAUCCCCCUGGCAUAACCCAGGAGCCUUUUUCUUUCUAUGCCGGCAUAACCCGCGGAUCUGCCUGGCAUAGCCCAGGAGCAUUUUUCUUCCUAUCCCAACAUAACCAGCGGAUCCCCCUGGCAUAACCCAGGAGUCUUUUUCACUCCCGGCAUAACUGCAGAUCCCCCUGACAUAAUCCAGGAAUCUUUUCUUUUAAUCUCGGCAAAACCCAUGAAUCUUUGUCAUACCGUCCUGACAUAACCCGUUAAGAUUUUUCUUCUUCAUCGCCAGCAGGGACUCUUUAUUCUUCUCCCGGUAUAACCCGUGGAUUGUCCUCUUAUCCCCAGCAGGGAUCUGUUUUCUUUUCUGGCAUAACUCGGCCAUCUGCCAGCAUAACUUGGUAACCUUUUCAAAAAUAAACAACCCUGACUUUUAUUGUUUUAAAUAGAAUUAGCUUAGAUUUGUGAUACAAAUAACUCACGAAAUUUUCCUAGUGAAAACUAGGGCAUAAAAUUUUGCUCGUUUAUUUGUUUUGGUGCCCGAACAG